rnacentral:sRNA from 1 species
UUGUGUUUUCUUCAGGUGGCUUUGAGUGACACAUAUACUGUCCUUUUUCCCCUAGGUUUGUUUGUAAAAACAAUGGUGUGUUGUUUGAAAACCAACUGCUUCAAAUUGGACUUAAGUCUGAAUUUCGGCAGAAUUUAGGUCGGAUGUUUAUCUUUUAUGGUAAUAAGACCUCCACGCAGUUCCUAAACUUUACCCCAACACUAAUCUGUUCAGACGACCUUCAGCCUAACCUGAACCUGCAGACCAAGCCCGUGGACCCGACUGUGGAGGGGGGCGCGCAGGUGCAGCAGGUGGUCAACAUAGAGUGCGUGUCUGACUUCACGGAGGCGCCAGUCCUCAACAUUCAGUUCAGGUAUGGGGGCACCUUCCAGAACGUGUCUGUGCAGCUGCCCAUCACUCUCAACAAAUUCUUCCAGCCAACAGAAAUGGCUUCUCAGGAUUUCUUUCAACGUUGGAAGCAGUUGAGCAAUCCGCAGCAGGAAGUGCAGAACAUCUUCAAAGCAAAGCACCCAAUGGACACAGAAGUCACCAAAGCCAAGAUCAUUGGAUUUGGUUCUGCACUUCUUGAAGAAGUUGAUCCCAAUCCUGCGAAUUUCGUGGGAGCUGGAAUCAUCCACACGAAAACCACCCA